rnacentral:rRNA from 1 species
CCCCUUCGGGGGUGGAUUAGCGGCGGACGGGUGAGUAACACGUGGGUAACCUGCCUCAAAGUGGGGGAUAGCCUUCCGAAAGGAAGAUUAAUACCGCAUAAAGCCAAGUUUCACAUGGAAUUUGGAUGAAAGGAGUAAUUCGCUUUGAGAUGGACCCGCGGCGCAUUAGUUAGUUGGUGGGGUAAUGGCCUACCAAGACAGCGAUGCGUAGCCGACCUGAGAGGGUGAUCGGCCACAUUGGAACUGAGAUACGGUCCAGACUCCUACGGGAGGCAGCAGUGGGGAAUAUUGCACAAUGGGCGAAAGCCUGAUGCAGCAACGCCGCGUGAGUGAUGAAGGUCUUCGGAUUGUAAAGCUCUGUCUUUUGGGACGAUAAUGACGGUACCAAAGGAGGAAGCCACGGCUAACUACGUGCCAGCAGCCGCGGUAAUACGUAGGUGGCGAGCGUUGUCCGGAUUUACUGGGCGUAAAGGGUGCGUAGGCGGAUGUUUAAGUGAGAUGUGAAAUACCCGGGCUUAACUUGGGUGCUGCAUUUCAAACUGGAUAUCUAGAGUGCAGGAGAGGAGAAUGGAAUUCCUAGUGUAGCGGUGAAAUGCGU